GCCCUCGUAGAUUAGCGGCAGAUCUUGCACUCUCAAUACUUAUAAUAGUAGCCCGUGAAUUAUGUGGACGACGUGGGUUCGACUCCCACCGAGCGCG